AUACCCGCUGAACUUAAGCAUAUCAAUAAGCGGAGGAAAAGAAACCAACAGGGAUUGCCUCAGUAACGGCGAGUGAAGCGGCAAAAGCUCAAAUUUGAAAUCUGGCUCUUUCAGAGUCCGAGUUGUAAUUUGUAGAGGAUGCUUCGGCUUACGUUUCGGUCUAAGUUCCUUGGAACAGGACGUCACAGAGGGUGAGAAUCCCGUUUGUGGCCGAGACUUCCGCCAUGUGAAGCUCCUUCGACGAGUCGAGUUGUUUGGGAAUGCAGCUCUAAAUGGGAGGUAAAUUUCUUCUAAAGCUAAAUACCGGCCAGAGACCGAUAGCGCACAAGUAGAGUGAUCGAAAGAUGAAAAGCACUUUGGAAAGAGAGUUAAAAAGUACGUGAAAUUGUUGAAAGGGAAGCGCUUGCGACCAGACUUGCCCGCAGAUGCUCAACCGGUCCUUCGGCCGGUGCACUCUUCUGCGGUCAGGCCAGCAUCAGUUCGAGCGGUCGGAUAAAGGCCUUGGGAAUGUGGCUCUCUUCGGGGAGUGUUAUAGCCCUUGGUGUAAUACGGCCCGCCUGGACUGAGGCCCGCGCUUCGGCUAGGAUGCUGGCGUAAUGGUCGUAAGCGGCCCGUCUUG
rnacentral:rRNA from 1 species